rnacentral:rRNA from 1 species
AAAAAAAAAACCUGCCUCAAAGAGGGGGAUAGCCUCCCGAAAGGGAGAUUAAUACCGCAUAACAUUAUUUUUUCGCAUGAAAAAAUAAUCAAAGGAGUAAUCCGCUUUGAGAUGGACCCGCGGCGCAUUAGCUAGUUGGUGAGGUAAUGGCUCACCAAGGCAACGAUGCGUAGCCGACCUGAGAGGAUGAUCGGCCACAUUGGAACUGAGAUACGGUCCAGACUCCUACGGGAGGCAGCAGUGGGGAAUAUUGCGCAAUGGGGGAAACCCUGACGCAGCAACGCCGCGUGGGUGAAGAAGUCAAGGGGGUUGUAAAGCUCUGUCUUCUGGGACGAUAAUGACGGUGCCAGAGGAGGAAGCCACGGCUAACUACGUGCCAGCAGCCGCGGUAAAAGGGCGA